rnacentral:tRNA from 1 species
AGAAAUUUAGGUUAAAUCAGACCAAAAGCCUUCAAAGCUUUCAGUAAGUUAACAUGCUUAAUUUCUG